rnacentral:rRNA from 1 species
UACGAAGGGGGCUAGCGUUGUUCGGAAUCACUGGGCGUAAAGGGCGCGUAGGCGGCUGUUCAAGUCGGGGGUGAAAUCCCGUGGCUCAACCACGGAAUGGCCUUCGAUACUGGACGGUUCGAGUCCGGAAGAGGUGAGUGGAACUGCGAGUGUAGAGGUGAAAUUCGUAGAUAUUCGCAAGAACACCAGUGGCGAAGGCGGCUCACUGGUCCGGUUCUGACGCUGAGGCACGAAAGCGUGGGGAGCAAACAGG